rnacentral:rRNA from 1 species
UACGUAGGGGGCAAGCGUUAUCCGGAUUUACUGGGUGUAAAGGGAGCGCAGACGGAACUGCAAGUCUGAUGUGAAAGCCCGGGGCUCAACCGCGGGACUGCAUCGGAUACUGUGGAUCUGGAGUGCCGGAGGGGCAAGCGGAAUUCCUGGUGUAGCGGUGAAAUGCGUAGAUAUCAGGAGGAACACCGGCGGCGAAGGCGGCUUGCUGGACGGCAACUGACGUUGAGGCUCGAAAGUGUGGGGAGCAAACAGGAUUAGAUACCCU